UACGUAGGGUCCGAGCGUUGUCCGGAAUUAUUGGGCGUAAAGGGCUCGUAGGCGGUUCGUCACGUCGGGAGUGAAAACUCGGAGCUUAACUCCGAGCCUGCUUCCGAUACGGGCAGAUUAGAGGUAGGCAGGGGAGAGCGGAACUCCUGGUGUAGCGGUGGAAUGCGCAGAUAUCAGGAAGAACACUGGUGGCGAAGGCGGCUCUCUGGGCCUUACCUGACGCUGAGGAGCGAAAGCGUGGGUAGCGAACAGG
rnacentral:rRNA from 1 species